ncrna:unclassified sequences LOOT RNA
GACCUAAAUCUUAAUUUUUUAAGACAUGGUCAAAAUCCUCAGCGAUAAAGAUGGUCUUCUGACCAGUGCUUCAUCGCUGAGGUCUGUAUCCGAAAGGAUGUAGGAUAGUUUCGAAAGGAAUUAUC